ACUGUGUGUCUCUCUAUUGUAUACUCUGCACGGUCACAUGAUCCCUCCACUUCUCAACGGCUGUCGCAAAUGAAGACUGCAGUCAGGAAGCGGGGAUGAGCACCUGCCUCACGAUCUUGGCUCUCAGGGCCUGGCGUGUGGGUCUCAGCUCAGCCAUAUCCCUCUGAGGCACAGGGCAAACGAGGACCAAGUAGCAGACUGCAGAUGCUUCACCUGGCAUCUAGACACUGCCCCCCGCCCCCCACCUCCAGCAGAACUGGGCCAGCAGCUCUGUUCUUGCUUCCUCUCUCUUAAGCUAGGCCAGGCUGGCUCCUGGCUGUGAAGGAACCUCUGGUCCCUAGGAAACCCUGAAGACUAGACAGGUGGGGACAGGGUAGAGCAGGGACAGCAGUGGCUUUGUUCACCAUUUGCACCCAGGAGGCCUUGUAGUGUUACAGUUGCAGUCAUCAGCCCUAUGAUGUACACUACAUGGACCAGCAGGACCUGGCCUUCACUCCUCCAGGCUACUAUGCCCUGGGGUCAAGGGAGAGGAACUCUGUUAUCUUCUCAGAAUAAAUAUUACUGCCACUCUAGAGGGA
rnacentral:lncRNA from 1 species